CAAAAAAGGAAGGGCAACGGGUGGCGAGGGAAAGGGAAAAGAAGUUUCAUGUCCGUGUGCACUAACCACUUCCGGCAAAACUCUUCAUUUCGAUACAGAAUGUAAAACCAAAACAAAGUACCAUUACGACUUACAAUCCCAAUGUGUGUAAUCUGUGUCUCCAGCAAUCCGAAAAUAAAAUUGCGUCACGUCUCGUUAUUUACAGUCAGUACGUAACGAGGUCACACCAAAAGCCCCACCCUUCUUCUCACUCUGGUUAGCCAAGAGUACAGCAACAAAAAAGCAGGGGG